AGGAAGCAACUCAAUAUUUUAGCAAUGGUACUUGAUAUCUGUGUUGUGAUACUGAAAUCCUGCAUUGCCCUGGCCUUUCAGUAUUCUGUCUGCCUCAAUUUUCUUCUGUUAGGUGUCAUAAAAGGAGAUGAAGUGAAGCAAACAGAAUUAAGUAAAACUAUACAUGAAGGGGAUGAUGUCACUUUGUCCUGUAAUUUCAAAACAACAUCUAACACGUCUCCAGACUUAUACUGGUAUCAGCAAAAACCAAAGGGACCUAUGAAAUAUUUAGAACUUCAAAUGAACAACUAUAAAAUGAAUGCAACAAAAGGACGCUUCACAUCAUAGUAUAACAUUUCUGAACUUUCUACAUUCCUAAGCAUCUCCAGUACCCAGCUGUCUGACUCGGCAGUUUACUUCUGCGCAGUGAGUGACACAGUGACUGACGUUUCUACUCAUGCCGUACAGGAACUGAUGCAUGUUAUAUGUAUGUAAAACUCUACUUCUCUCCCUCAGUUAUGUAGGGUCAAAUUUAAAAUUUCACACAGAUUUCACCCUACUCUUGUCUUCUGGAACUCAAAAUGACUGAAAUAAUUUAAAGAAUCAACAUUAUUGUUUAGUAGUUUGGUGGGAAUACUUUGUCUAAUGGUAUCCUAAAGCUGCUCCUUCAGAUUUUUCUUCAUGAAAGUUUGUAGGCCUUGCAUUAGUAACUCUGAUACUGCCAUUACAGUGAUUUCAGUAUUAUCCACAAAAAAACAUAAAACUUAAUGACCACGAUAAACAUAUAUGUAAGGAUAAUAUAUGCCUGUAGUUCAUAUAUUUAACAAUAACAAUUCAGUGUACUAUGUGCCUUAAUAUCCACCCAUUCAAGAAAAGUAA